CCUACGGGUGACAGCAGUGGGGAAUAUUGGGCAAUGGGCGCAAGCCUGACCCAGCAACGCCGCGUGAAGGAAGAAGGCUUUCGGGUUGUAAACUUCUUUUCUCAGGGACGAAGCAAGUGACGGUACCUGAGGAAUAAGCCACGGCUAACUACGUGCCAGCAGCCGCGGUAAUACGUAGGUGGGAAGCGUUAUCCGGAUUUACUGGGUGUAAAGGGCGUGUAGGCGGGACUGCAAGUCAGAUGUGAAAACGACGGGCUCAACCUUUGGCCUGCAUUGGAAACUGUAGUUCUUGAGUACUGGAGAGGCAGACGGGAUUCCUAGUGUAGCGGGGAAAUGGGUAGAUAUUAGGAGGAACACCAGGGGCGAAGGCGGUCUGCUGGACAGCAACUGACGCUGAGGCGCGAAAGCGUGGGGAGCAAACAGGAUUAGAUACCCCGAGUAGUC
rnacentral:rRNA from 1 species